rnacentral:rRNA from 1 species
UACGAAGGGGGCUAGCGUUGCUCGGAAUCACUGGGCGUAAAGCGCACGUAGGCGGGUCCUUAAGUCAGGGGUGAAAUUCCGGAGCUCAACUCCGGAACUGCCUUUGAUACUGGGGAUCUUGAGUCCGGAAGAGGUGAGUGGAACUCCGAGUGUAGAGGUGAAAUUCGUAGAUAUUCGGAAGAACACCAGUGGCGAAGGCGGCUCACUGGUCCGGUACUGACGCUGAGGUGCGAAAGCGUGGGGAGCAAACAGGAUAGAUAC